rnacentral:rRNA from 1 species
CGUGCCGGAGUUAACGCACUAAGUGACCCGCCUGGGGAGUACGACCGCAAGGUUGAAACUCAAAGGAAUUGACGGGGGCCCGCACAAGCAGUGGAGCGUGUGGUUUAAUUCGAAGCAACGCGCAGAACCUUACCAGGCCUUGACAUCCCCUGACAGCCUCAGAGAUGAGGUCUUCCGCUUUGCGGACAGGGUGACAGGUGUUGCAUGGUUGUCGUCAGCUCGUGUCGUGAGAUGUUGGGUUAAGUCCCGCAACGAGCGCAACCCCCGUCCUGUGUUGCCAGCGUAAAGUCGGGCACUCACAGGAGACUGCCGGAGACAAUUCGGAGGAAGGUGGGGAUGACGUCAAAUCCUCAUGGCCCUUAUGGCCUGGGCUACACACGCGCUACAAUGGCCUGUACAGAGGGAAGCGAAGGGGCGACCUGGAGCGAAUCUCACAAAGCAGGUCUCAGUUCGGAUUGCAGGCUGAAACCCGCCUGCAUGAAGCCGGAAUUGCUAGUAAUCGCGGAUCAGCUACGCCGCGGUGAAUACGUUCUCGGGCCUUGUACACACCGCCCGUCACACCACGAGAGUCGGCAACACCCGAAGCCGGUGGAGCUAACCCGCAAGGGAAGCAGCCGUCGAAGGUGGGGUUGGUGAUUGGGGUGAAGUCGUAACAAGGUAACCAAGGGCGAA